AACGUCGGGUCCUCAGAGCCCUCCCCCCCCUCCCCCCCAACCUCUGUCGUUUCUUCCUCCCCCUGCCUGCCUCGCCUCCUUCCUUCUUACCCAAGCACACGAAUUAGGGCAUCCACCGCCGCCUCACCCCCUGGUGGCCGAGCCCCGCUCUCUUUAAACCCUCCUCUCCUCCACUUCUACCGCGGCGCCGGCGAUCGCCGCCCCCUUGUGCCCCUCCUCCCAUGGCGAGCAACCCCGCGAGCGUCGGCGGUCGCACCAGCGUCCGCGUCGUCGUCAUCGGCGACCCCGGCACGGGUAAGUCCAGCCUCAUCGUCUCCGUAGCCACCGAGACCUUCCCCGAGAACGUCCCCCACGUCAUGCCCCCAACCCGCCUCCCGGCCGACUACUACCCCGAUCGCGUCCCAGUCACCAUCAUCGACACCUCCUCCAGCCCGGAGAACAAGACCAAGUUGAUCAGCGAGUGCCAGAUGGCCGACGCCAUUGUGCUCACCUACGCCUGUGACCGACCCUCCACUCUUGACCGCCUCAGCACCUACUGGCUCCCGGAGCUCCGCCGCCUUGAGAUUAAGGUGCCCGUGAUCGUCGUUGGCUGCAAGCUGGAUCUGCGGGACGAGCAGCAGAUGAGCCUGGAGCAGGUCAUGUCGCCGAUCAUGCAGCAGUUUCGGGAGAUCGAGACUUGCAUCGAAUGCUCCGCCCUCAGGCAGAUUCAGGUUCCUGAGGUUUUCUAUUAUGCUGAGAAGGCAGUGCUUCAUCCUACUGCCCCACUUUUUGAUCAAGAGACGCAAUCAUUGAAGCCUCGAUGUGUGAGGGCUUUGAAACGGAUAUUCAUUCUCUGUGACCAUGAUAGAGAUGGGGCUCUCAGUGAUGCAGAGUUGAAUGAAUUUCAGGUUAAAUGCUUUAACUCUCCUCUCCAGCCUUCUGAAAUUGUGGGUGUCAAGAAAGUUGUGCAAGAGAAGAUGCCUGAAGGGGUUAAUGAGCAUGGGCUUACUUUGACUGGGUUCCUUUUCCUCCAUGCACUUUUUAUAGAAAAAGGCCGUCUUGAAACGACGUGGACGGUGUUAAGAAAAUUUGGAUAUGACAAUGAUAUUAAGCUUAGGGAUGAUCUCCUGCCAUUAACAUUUAAACGAGCCCCUGAUCAGAGUGUGGAGCUAACGAAUGAAGCUGUGGAGUUCUUGAAAGGAAUUUUCUUCGUGUUUGAUAUUGACAAAGAUGGGGCUCUGCGACCUGCUGAACUUGAUGAUCUGUUUUCAACUGCACCAGAGAGCCCUUGGUCUGAAGCUCCUUACAAGGAUGCUGCAGAAAAGAACGUGCUAGGAGGAUUGUCACUUGAAGGAUUUCUUUCCGAGUGGGCCCUCAUGACACUUCUAGACCCAGCAGGUAGUCUUGCUAAUCUGAUAUACAUUGGAUACCCUGGCGAUGCUGCUUCAGCAUUUCAUAUAACCAGAAAAAGGAGGUUGGACCGUAAACGGCAACAAUCCCAGAGAAAUGUUAUUCAGUGCUUUGUCUUUGGUCCUAAAAAUGCUGGAAAAUCUGCAUUGUUAAAUGCACUUGUAGGGAGAACAUUCCCUGAGAAAUACACACCAACAACCAGCGAGCGGUUUGCAGCAAAUAUUGUAGAACUGCCAGGAGGGAUAAAAAAGACACUAGUAAUGCGGGAGGUACCAGAAGAUGACGUCAAAAUGGUGCUGUCUAAUAAGGAGUCCUUAGCACCUUGUGACAUAGCUGUAUUUGUUCAUGACAGUUCGGAUGAGAAUUCAUGGAGGAAAGCCAAAGAUUUGCUUGUGCAAGUUGCUAGUCAUGGAGAAAAUACUGGCUUUGAGGUUCCUUGCCUUAUUGUUUCUGCUAAGGAUGAUCUUGAUCCAUAUCCCUUGGCCAUACAGGAUUUGACAAGGUGCACUGGAAGCUCUCAUGCUGGUAAGCCAGGAGAUGGGAAUAGAGACACCUAUACCUAUCAGCAUAAAGUUAAGAGAUCUCAAUAAUGUAUUCCAUAGAAUAGUUACUGCUGCACAGCAUCCCCAUCUGAGCAUUCCUGAAACUGAAGCUGGAAGAAACCGCAAGCACUAUCGCCGGCUUGUAAAUCGUUCCCUCAUGUUUGUUUCAGUUGGAGCUGCUGUGGCAGUUGUGGGACUGGCUGCUUACAGGGUUUAUGCUGCUAGGAAGAAUACAUCAAACUGAGGAUUUCCUUCGGUGCGUCAAGCAGCUUGGCAAAAGCAGCAGAAGUUGUUCUAGCGUCGCUAUUUUUUGGGACUAUCCUGUCAUCCUAUGUUUUUUUUUUUUUUUGUUAAGAUGUACAGUUGUCACCGUGUCCAUCAAGGCCUGAGCAAAGAAAGUUUGUGCUGCCCCAAGUUGAUGGUUUCCUAGUUCUGUUUCUGAGAUUUUUAAAUGAUGGAAAGCUUUGUAGUUUUUGUUGGUGCACAGGGGGUAACCUCUAAACUACAGGCUGAUAUUUUUUUGUUAAUUCUCAUAAUUAUUCAGGCUGACAGCUCGAUUUUGAGAAGUUGAUUUUCA